rnacentral:rRNA from 1 species
GCUUCCAUUGCUACACAGGGCGGCCGUGGCGGGGACGGCGACGACGUCAGGGUCAACAUAGGCCCGCCAGCCGAGCCCAUAAACGUACCCGCCGCCGCCAUGUCUCCGGUUCUUCUCCCCCGAGCACUGUGGACACUGGCCUUGCUCACCCUCAUCGUCGACGUGGGCACGAUGCUCUACAGGCCGCCCCGGGGAGUGGUCUUCGGCCACCACAGGCUCGCUUACUACCUCGCCCUCGCCGGUGUUUUCGUUGCCGGGGUCGCGGAGGCCACGGCCGCCUUCUGGAUUUCACGUUCACCUGACGUCUACCGACGCCGUUUUUCCUUGGGGAGGAUCGUUCUAUGCGCCUCCAUUGGGCCAUUCGUCAUUGUCGUCGCCAUCGGAAGCUUCGCCUUCAUU